rnacentral:rRNA from 1 species
GGGUGAUUGACGCUGAGGCACGAAAGCGUGGGGAUCAAACAGGAUUAGAUACCCUGGUAGUCCACGCAGUAAACGAUGAUAACUAACCGCUGGACCGUUGUGGUUCAGUGGCCAAGCGAAAGCGAUAAGUUAUCCACCUGGGGAGUACGACCGCAAGGUUGAAACUCAAAGGAAUUGACGGGGGCCCGCACAAGCGGAGGAACAUGUGGUUUAAUUCGAUGAUACGCGAGGAACCUUACCCGGGCUCGAACGGCUGGUGAAGAGAUCCAGAGAUGGUGACGUCCUUCGGGACACCAGUCGAGGUGCUGCAUGGUUGUCGUCAGCUCGUGCCGUGAGGUGUCGGCUCAAGUGCCAUAACGAGCGCAACCCUUGUCGUCAGUUACCAUCAAGUAGUGUUGGGGACUCUGGCGAGACUGCCACCGCAAGGUGUGAGGAAGGGGGGGAUGACGUCAAAUCAGCACGGCCCUUACGUCCGGGGCGACACACGUGUUACAAUGGGAGUUACAGAGGGGCACUACCUGGUGACAGGAUGGGAAUCUCGAAAAGCUCUCUCAGUCCGGAUCGGAGUCUGCAACUCGACUCCGUGGAGCUGGAUUCGCU